rnacentral:rRNA from 1 species
AGAUUAAGUUAUUAAGGGCGCACGGUGGAUGCCUUGGCACUAGAAGCCGAUGAAGGACGUUACUAACGACGAUAUGCUUUGGGUAGCUGUAAGUAAGCGUUGAUCCAGAGAUUUCCGAAUGGGGGAACCCAGCAUGAGUUAUGUCAUGUUAUCGACAUGUGAAUUUAUAGCAUGUCAGAAGGCAGACCCGGAGAACUGAAACAUCUUAGUACCCGGAGGAAGAGAAAGAAAAAUCGAUUCCCUGAGUAGCGGCGAGCGAAACGGGAAGAGCCCAAACCAACAAGCUUGCUUGUUGGGGUUGUAGGACACUCUAUACGGAGUUACAAAAGAACAUGUUAGACGAAUCAUCUGGAAAGAUGAAUCAAAGAAGGUAAUAAUCCUGUAGUCGAAAACAUAUUCUCUCUUGAGUGGAUCCUGAGUACGACGGAGCACGUGAAAUUCCGUCGGAAUCUGGGAGGACCAUCUCCUAAGGCUAAAUACUCUCUAGUGACCGAUAGUGAACCAGUACCGUGAGGGAAAGGUGAAAAGUACCCCGGAAGGGGAGUGAAAGAGAACUUGAAACCGUGUGCUUACAAGUAGUCAGAGCCCGUUAAUGGGUGAUGGCGUGCCUUUUGUAGAAUGAACCGGCGAGUUACGAUCUGAUGCAAGGUUAAGCAGCAAAUGUGGAGCCGCAGCGAAAGCGAGUCUGAAUAGGGCGUUGAGUAUUUGGUCGUAGACCCGAAACCAGGUGAUCUACCCUUGGUCAGGUUGAAGUUCAGGUAACACUGAAUGGAGGACCGAACCGACUUACGUUGAAAAGUGAGCGGAUGAACUGAGGGUAGCGGAGAAAUUCCAAUCGAACUUGGAGAUAGCUGGUUCUCUCCGAAAUAGCUUUAGGGCUAGCCUCAAGUGAUGAUUAUUGGAGGUAGAGCACUGUUUGGACGAGGGGCCCCUCUCGGGUUACCGAAUUCAGACAAACUCCGAAUGCCAAUUAAUUUAACUUGGGAGUCAGAACAUGGGUGAUAAGGUCCGUGUUCGAAAGGGAAACAGCCCAGACCACCAGCUAAGGUCCCAAAAUAUAUGUUAAGUGGAAAAGGAUGUGGCGUUGCCCAGACAACUAGGAUGUUGGCUUAGAAGCAGCCAUCAUUUAAAGAGUGCGUAAUAGCUCACUAGUCGAGUGACACUGCGCCGAAAAUGUACCGGGGCUAAACAUAUUACCGAAGCUGUGGAUUGUCCUUUGGACAAUGGUAGGAGAGCGUUCUAAGGGCGUCGAAGCAUGAUCGCAAGGACAUGUGGAGCGCUUAGAAGUGAGAAUGCCGGUGUGAGUAGCGAAAGACGGGUGAGAAUCCCGUCCACCGAUUGACUAAGGUUUCCAGAGGAAGGCUCGUCCGCUCUGGGUUAGUCGGGUCCUAAGCUGAGGCCGACAGGCGUAGGCGAUGGAUAACAGGUUGAUAUUCCUGUACCACCUAGUAUCGUUUUAAUCGAUGGGGGG